rnacentral:rRNA from 6 species
GGUUAAGCGACUAAGCGUACACGGUGGAUGCCCUGGCAGUCAGAGGCGAUGAAGGACGUGCUAAUCUGCGAUAAGCGUCGGUAAGGUGAUAUGAACCGUUAUAACCGGCGAUUUCCGAAUGGGGAAACCCAGUGUGUUUCGACACACUAUCAUUAACUGAAUCCAUAGGUUAAUGAGGCGAACCGGGGGAACUGAAACAUCUAAGUACCCCGAGGAAAAGAAAUCAACCGAGAUUCCCCCAGUAGCGGCGAGCGAACGGGGAGCAGCCCAGAGCCUGAAUCAGUGUGUGUGUUAGUGGAAGCGUCUGGAAAGGCGCGCGAUACAGGGUGACAGCCCCGUACACAAAAAUGCACAUACUGUGAGCUCGAUGAGUAGGGCGGGACACGUGGUAUCCUGUCUGAAUAUGGGGGGACCAUCCUCCAAGGCUAAAUACUCCUGACUGACCGAUAGUGAACCAGUACCGUGAGGGAAAGGCGAAAAGAACCCCGGCGAGGGGAGUGAAAAAGAACCUGAAACCGUGUACGUACAAGCAGUGGGAGCCUCUUUUAUGGGGUGACUGCGUACCUUUUGUAUAAUGGGUCAGCGACUUAUAUUCUGUAGCAAGGUUAACCGAAUAGGGGAGCCGAAGGGAAACCGAGUCUUAACCGGGCGUUAAGUUGCAGGGUAUAGACCCGAAACCCGGUGAUCUAGCCAUGGGCAGGUUGAAGGUUGGGUAACACUAACUGGAGGACCGAACCGACUAAUGUUGAAAAAUUAGCGGAUGACUUGUGGCUGGGGGUGAAAGGCCAAUCAAACCGGGAGAUAGCUGGUUCUCCCCGAAAGCUAUUUAGGUAGCGCCUCGUGAAUUCAUCUCCGGGGGUAGAGCACUGUUUCGGCAAGGGGGUCAUCCCGACUUACCAACCCGAUGCAAACUGCGAAUACCGGAGAAUGUUAUCACGGGAGACACACGGCGGGUGCUAACGUCCGUCGUGAAGAGGGAAACAACCCAGACCGCCAGCUAAGGUCCCAAAGUCAUGGUUAAGUGGGAAACGAUGUGGGAAGGCCCAGACAGCCAGGAUGUUGGCUUAGAAGCAGCCAUCAUUUAAAGAAAGCGUAAUAGCUCACUGGUCGAGUCGGCCUGCGCGGAAGAUGUAACGGGGCUAAACCAUGCACCGAAGCUGCGGCAGCGACACUGUGUGUUGUUGGGUAGGGGAGCGUUCUGUAAGCCUGUGAAGGUGUACUGUAAGGUAUGCUGGAGGUAUCAGAAGUGCGAAUGCUGACAUAAGUAACGAUAAAGCGGGUGAAAAGCCCGCUCGCCGGAAGACCAAGGGUUCCUGUCCAACGUUAAUCGGGGCAGGGUGAGUCGACCCCUAAGGCGAGGCCGAAAGGCGUAGUCGAUGGGAAACAGGUUAAUAUUCCUGUACUUGGUGUUACUGCGAAGGGGGGACGGAGAAGGCUAUGUUGGCCGGGCGACGGUUGUCCCGGUUUAAGCGUGUAGGCUGGUUUUCCAGGCAAAUCCGGAAAAUCAAGGCUGAGGCGUGAUGACGAGGCACUACGGUGCUGAAGCAACAAAUGCCCUGCUUCCAGGAAAAGCCUCUAAGCAUCAGGUAACAUCAAAUCGUACCCCAAACCGACACAGGUGGUCAGGUAGAGAAUACCAAGGCGCUUGAGAGAACUCGGGUGAAGGAACUAGGCAAAAUGGUGCCGUAACUUCGGGAGAAGGCACGCUGAUAUGUAGGUGAAGUCCCUCGCGGAUGGAGCUGAAAUCAGUCGAAGAUACCAGCUGGCUGCAACUGUUUAUUAAAAACACAGCACUGUGCAAACACGAAAGUGGACGUAUACGGUGUGACGCCUGCCCGGUGCCGGAAGGUUAAUUGAUGGGGUCAGCGCAAGCGAAGCUCUUGAUCGAAGCCCCGGUAAACGGCGGCCGUAACUAUAACGGUCCUAAGGUAGCGAAAUUCCUUGUCGGGUAAGUUCCGACCUGCACGAAUGGCGUAAUGAUGGCCAGGCUGUCUCCACCCGAGACUCAGUGAAAUUGAACUCGCUGUGAAGAUGCAGUGUACCCGCGGCAAGACGGAAAGACCCCGUGAACCUUUACUAUAGCUUGACACUGAACAUUGAGCCUUGAUGUGUAGGAUAGGUGGGAGGCUUUGAAGUGUGGACGCCAGUCUGCAUGGAGCCGACCUUGAAAUACCACCCUUUAAUGUUUGAUGUUCUAACGUGGACCCGUGAUCCGGGUUGCGGACAGUGUCUGGUGGGUAGUUUGACUGGGGCGGUCUCCUCCUAAAGAGUAACGGAGGAGCACGAAGGUUGGCUAAUCCUGGUCGGACAUCAGGAGGUUAGUGCAAUGGCAUAAGCCAGCUUGACUGCGAGCGUGACGGCGCGAGCAGGUGCGAAAGCAGGUCAUAGUGAUCCGGUGGUUCUGAAUGGAAGGGCCAUCGCUCAACGGAUAAAAGGUACUCCGGGGAUAACAGGCUGAUACCGCCCAAGAGUUCAUAUCGACGGCGGUGUUUGGCACCUCGAUGUCGGCUCAUCACAUCCUGGGGCUGAAGUAGGUCCCAAGGGUAUGGCUGUUCGCCAUUUAAAGUGGUACGCGAGCUGGGUUUAGAACGUCGUGAGACAGUUCGGUCCCUAUCUGCCGUGGGCGCUGGAGAACUGAGGGGGGCUGCUCCUAGUACGAGAGGACCGGAGUGGACGCAUCACUGGUGUUCGGGUUGUCAUGCCAAUGGCACUGCCCGGUAGCUAAAUGCGGAAGAGAUAAGUGCUGAAAGCAUCUAAGCACGAAACUUGCCCCGAGAUGAGUUCUCCCUGACCCUUUAAGGGUCCUGAAGGAACGUUGAAGACGACGACGUUGAUAGGCCGGGUGUGUAAGCGCAGCGAUGCGUUGAGCUAACCGGUACUAAUGAACCGUGAGGCUUAACCUU